UGCUGCCUGAAUUGUGCGCCAGUCUCUACAGUCUUGAGCCGAUGCUUAUAAUUACGGGAGCUUAAUUGAAUGCGGGAGUGCAAGCUCGUCUAUGAUCGAGAAGCCCGAUGUGUCCAUGUAGCACCCACCUGGUUCUUGAGGGUUCAAGAGCCUUGUAGACAGCGCCAACUUUGGGUAGCUU
rnacentral:other from 1 species